CCUACGGGUGGCAGCAGUGAGGAAUAUUGGUCAAUGGACGCAAGUCUGAACCAGCCAUGCCGCGUGCAGGAAGACGGCUCUAUGAGUUGUAAACUGCUUUUGUACGAGGGUAAACGCAGAUACGCGUAUCUGUCUGAAAGUAUCGUACGAAUAAGGAUCGGCUAACUCCGUGCCAGCAGCCGCGGUAAUCCGGGGGAGUCAAGCGUUAUCGGGAUUGAUUGGGUUUAAAGGGUGCGUAGGCGGUGGGAGAAGUGAGAGGUGAAAUCCCGAGGUUCAACUUCGGAAUUGCCUCUGAUACUGUUAGGCUAGAGAGUAGUUGCGGUAGGCGGAAUGUAUGGUGUAGCGGUGGAAUGCUGAGAGAUCAGACAGAACACCGAUUGCGAAGGCAGCUUACCAAGCUACUUCUGACGUUGAGGCACGAAAGCGUGGGGAGCAAACAGGAUUAGAUACCCUAGUAGUC
rnacentral:rRNA from 1 species